rnacentral:rRNA from 1 species
CCUACGGGGGGCAGCAGUGGGGAAUAUUGGACAAUGGGGGCAACCCUGAUCCAGCCAUGCCGCGUGUGUGAAGAAGGCCCUCGGGUUGUAAAGCACUUUCAGUGAGGAAGAACGCCUGGUGGUUAAUACCCAGCAGGAAAGACAUCACUCACAGAAGAAGCACCGGCUAACUCCGUGCCAGCAGCCGCGGUAAUACGGAGGGUGCGAGCGUGAAUCGGAAUUACUGGGCGUAAAGCGCGCGUAGGUGGCUUGAUAAGCCGGUUGUGAAAGCCCCGGGCUCAACCUGGGAACGGCAUCCGGAACUGUCAAGCUAGAGUGCAGGAGAGGAAGGUAGAAUUCCCGGUGUAGCGGUGAAAUGCGUAGAGAUCGGGAGGAAUACCAGUGGCGAAGGCGGCCUUCUGGACUGAAACUGACACUGAGGUGCGAAAGCGUGGGUAGCAAACAGGAUUAGAUACCCGUGUAGUC